rnacentral:ncRNA from 1 species
CGAUAGUGAACCAGUACCGUGAGGGAAAGGCGAAAAGAACCCCGGAAGGGGAGUGAAAUAGAUCCUGAAACCGUAUGCAUACAAACAGUAGGAGCCUCCUUGUGGGGUGACUGCGUACCUUUUGUAUAAUGGGUCAGCGACUUACAUUCAGUGGCAAGGUUAACCGAAUAGGGAAGCCGUAGCGAAAGCGAGUCCGAAUAGGGCGAUUCAGUCGCUGGGUGUAGACCCGAAACCAGAUGAUCUAUCCAUGGCCAGGUUGAAGGCACGGUAACACGUGCUGGAGGACCGAACCCACUAAUGUUGAAAAAUU